rnacentral:rRNA from 1 species
UACAGAGGUCUCAAGCGUUGUUCGGAAUCACUGGGCGUAAAGGGUGCGUAGGUGGCGUGGUAAGUCAGAUGUGAAAGCCCGGGGCUCAACCUCGGAAUUGCAUCCGAUACUGCCGUGCUAGAGUACUGAAGAGGUGACUAGAAUUCUCGGAUGUAGCAGUGAAAUGCGUAGAUAUCGAGAGGAACACCAAAGGCGAAGGCAGUGUCCUGGGGAGUACCUGACGCUCAGGUGCGAAAGCCAGGGGAGCGAACGGG